rnacentral:pre_miRNA from 1 species
UGGCAGUGUAUCGUUAGCUGGUUGUAAAGCUUAAGGACACCAGCUAACAUGCAGCUGCUCUC